GAGUCCAGCGCUGAAUCGCUCAGUCUUAUGGCUGCUGUGAAAUGUAGCGUAUAGUGAUUACUGUCCGUCGGUGUCGGUUGUCCGAAGUCCUUUCGAUUUAGGCCAUAGACCAGAGAGGGUGCAAGUCCUGUUCUGGGCGACGAUGCUGGCGGUAUUGGUUUUCACUGGGAGUCGGGUUGCUUGAAAGUGCAGCCUAAAGUGGGUGAUAAACUUCAUCUAAGACUAAAUAUUGGCUCGAUUGCGAUAGCGAACAAGUACCGUGAGGGAAAGUUGCAAAGAACUUUGAAGAGAGAGUUCAAGAGAACGUGAAAUCACUAAAGUGUAACCGGAGACAGUCGAUGAUGCUUGGUGACUCGUAGUUGGCUUGCGCUCCCUCGGGAGUGCCGGUCGGUUGCUUCGUUGCCUAUGCAGCGCUGACGGCAUCGGUUGCUUGUUCUGAACGGUGUUGUGUUGCCCAGUCCUCACGGUCUGGUGUCUUGCGACUAUCGGAAGGUUCAUGGCGGCUGGUGUUCAACUUGUGCUUUGUGCAGGCGUCGGUGUAAAAGUCGAUCACGUUUCCGACCCGUCUUGAAACACGGAUAACGGAGUAUUUUUGCACUGCGAGUCAAAGGGUGUUAAAACCUUGCGGCGAAAUGAAAGUAAAGAUCGGCCUCGAGUCGGUCGACAUGAGAUCGUUGGUCCCGGUGGCUGACGCGCAUCAUGGCCCUAUGCGAGUUGCUUGCAACUGUGUAGAGGUUGAGCAAUGCGAAAGUGACCCGAAAGAUGGUGAACUAUUCCUGAGCAGGACGAAGCCAGAGGAAACUCUGGUGGAAGUCCGUAUCGGUUCUGACGUGCAAAUCGAUCGAUAGACUUGGGUAUAGGGGCGAAAGACUAAUCGAACCAUCUAGUAGCUGGUUCCUUCCGAAGUUUCCCUCAGGAUAGCUGGACUUUGGCACAGUUUUAUUCGGUAAAGCUAAUGAUUAGAGGUCUUGGGGACGUAAUGUCCUCAACCUAUUCUCAAACUUUCAAUGGAUAAGAUGUUGCAGUUUCUUCAUUGAACUGUCAACGUGAAUGUAAGGUCCAAGUGGGCCAUUUUUGGUAAGCAGAACUGGCGCUGUGGGAUGAACCAAACACGAAGUUAAGGUGCCUAACUUCUCGCUCAUGAGACCCCAUAAAAGGUGUUGGUUGAUAUUGACAGCAGGACGGUGGCCAUGGAAGUCGGUAUCCGCUAAGGAGUGUGUAACAACUCACCUGCCGAAUCAACUAGCCCUGAAAAUGGAUGGCGCUUAAGCGAGAGACCUAUACUUUGUCGUUACGGCAUGUGCGUUGUCUGACGUCAGGUCGGAACGAGUAGGAAGGACGUGGCGGUUGCGUUGAAGGCUAUGAGCGUGGGCUCGGCUGGAGCUUCCGUCAGUGCUGAUCGUUAUGGUAGUAGCAAAUAUUCAAGUUCGAUCCUUGAAGACUGAAGUGGAGAAGGGUUCCACGUGAACAGUAGUUGGAUGUGGGUCAGUCGAUCCUAAGGUACUAGCGAAUGCUUUGUAUCAUUGGUGGCGUAAAGCUUGCUUUUUGCCAUCAUCAUCGAAAGGGAAUAGGGUUAAUAUUCCCUGACUGUGAUGCAGAGAUUGUGAACUUCGGUUUACUAGCGCGGCAACGCAUUUGAACUUGGCUAGUCGCUCGACGACCGAGCUAGAGUUUUCUUCUCUAGUUAAGGAACGGACUCCCUGGAAUUGGUUCAGCCAGAGAUGGGGACGUUGUUUCCGAAAAGCACCGCGGUUUCUGUGGUGUCUCGUGCUCGUCGAACGGCCCUUUAAAUGCCAAGGGAAGCUAUCAAUCUGCACACAAUCGUACCGAUAUCCGCAUUAGGUCUCCAAGGUGAACAGCCUCUAGUCGAUAGAAUAAUGUAGGUAAGGGAAGUCGGCAAACUAGAUCCGUAACUUCGGGAAAAGGAUUGGCUCCAGUGGUCGGAUCGAUUGGCCGUAUUGUUGACGCUUGCUCGGCGUCGUUCUGUUUGCUAGUUGUCCCUCGUGGAUGGCUGGCGGGCUAGUGACGAUGCUGACUUGUGGACGCUUUGCGGUGUGUGCUUUGACUUCGGUCUUAGUAUCCUGAUCGGUCACUUUAACGACCAAACUGGAACCGGUACGGACUCAGGGAAUCCGACUGUCUAAUUAAAACAGAGGUGACAGAUGGUCCUUGCGGACGUUGACUGUCACUGAUUUCUGCCCAGUGCUCUGAAUGUUAAAUCGUAGUAAUUCGAGUAAGCGCGGGUAAACGGCGGGAGUAACUAUGACUCUCUUAAGGUAGCCAAAUGCCUCGUCAUUUAAUUGGUGACGCGCAUGAAUGGAUUAACGAGAUUCCUACUGUCCCUAACUACUAUCUAGCGAAACCACAGCCAAGGGAACGGGCUUGGAAAAAAUAGCGGGGAAAGAAGACCCUGUUGAGCUUGACUCUAGUUUGACAUUGUGAAGAGUCAUGAGAGGUGUAGCAUAGGUGGGAGACUUCGGUCGACAGUGAAAUACCACCACUUUCAUCGACUCUUCACUUAUUCGGUUAAAAGAGAAUUGGUCUUCGGACCAUUUUUCGAAGCGUUAAGCAGUGCCACUCUGUGGCGCUGUGACUCUCCGCGAAGACAGUGUCAAGCGGGGAGUUUGACUGGGGCGGUACAUCUAUCAAAUCGUAACGUAGGUGUCCUAAGGCGAGCUCAGAGAGGACGGAAACCUCUCGUAGAGCAAAAGGGCAAAAGCUUGCUUGAUCUUGACUUUCAGUACGAGUACAGACCGCGAAAGCGUGGCCUAUCGAUCCUUUUAAUCCAGAUUGUUUCUGGUAAGAGGUGUCAGAAAAGUUACCACAGGGAUAACUGGCUUGUGGCAGCCAAGCGUCCAUAGCGACGUUGCUUUUUGAUCCUUCGAUGUCGGCUCUUCCUAUCAUUGCGAAGCAGAAUUCGCCAAGCGUUGGAUUGUUCACCCACUAAUAGGGAACGUGAGCUGGGUUUAGACCGUCGUGAGACAGGUUAGUUUUACCCUACUGUUGACUUGUUAUUGCGAAAGUAAUCCUGCUUAGUACGAGAGGAACAGCGGGUUCAAACAUUUGGUUCAUGGACUUGGUCGACAGGCCAAUGGUCCGAAGCUACCAUUUGAGAGAUUAUAACUGAACGCCUCUAAGUUAGAAUCUCGCCUUGUCAAGGCGAAAAUGUUUUGCUUCCCGGUGUCGGGAGGCAAUGUUAUCUCGUGUUAUGCACGAGAGCUUAUGCCCUAGUAAUGGCCUUGGCAAAUAGGUGAUGAACUUGUUUGCCUGCCAACGCCAGAAAACUCUGGUUCAAUGUCGGGGUGCAAAAUCACUUGUAUACGACUUGGUCUUUUGGUCAAGGUGUUGUACUCAGUAGAGCAGUUUUUUUAUGCUGCGAUCUGUUGAGACUAU
rnacentral:rRNA from 1 species